AGGGUUCGAUUCUGGCUCAGGAUGAACGCUAGCGACAGGCUUAACACAUGCAAGUCGAGGGGCAUCGACGGGAGUAGCAAUACAACUGGUGGCGACCGGCGCACGGGUGAGUAACGCGUAUGCAACCUACCUAUCAGAGGGGAAUAACCCGGCGAAAGUCGGACUAAUACCGCAUAAAACAGGGGCACCGCAUGGUGAUAUUUGUUAAAGAAAUUCGCUGAUAGAUGGGCAUGCGUUCCAUUAGGUAGUUGGUGAGGUAACGGCUCACCAAGCCGACGAUGGAUAGGGGAACUGAGAGGUUGGUCCCCCACACUGGUACUGAGACACGGACCAGACUCCUACGGGAGGCAGCAGUGAGGAAUAUUGGUCAAUGGGCGGGAGCCUGAACCAGCCAAGUCGCGUGAAGGAAAGAAGGAUCUAUGGUUCGUAAACUUCUUUUGCAGGGGAAUAAAGUGCAGGACGUGUCCUGUUUUGUAUGUACCCUGAGAAUAAGGAUCGGCUAACUCCGUGCCAGCAGCAGC
rnacentral:rRNA from 1 species